GGGCCCGCACAAGCGGAGGAGCAUGUGGUUUAAUUCGAUGAUACGCGAGGAACCUUACCAAGGCUUAAAUGUAAUAUGACCGGUUGAGAGAUCAACCUUUUUCGAACAGAUUACAAGGUGCUGCAUGGUUGUCGUCAGCUCGUGCCGUGAGGUGUCGGGUUAAGUCCCAUAACGAGCGCAACCCCUAUUUUUAGUUACCAGCGAGUAAUGUCGGGAACUCUAGAAAAACUGCCUGUGCAAACAGAGAGGAAGGUGGGAUGACGUCAAAUCAUCACGGCCCUUAUGUCUUGGGCUACACACGUGCUACAAUGGUUACUACAAUGUGAUGCCAUCUGGUGACAGAGAGCUAAUCUUUAAAACCGGUCUC
rnacentral:rRNA from 1 species